rnacentral:rRNA from 1 species
AUUGAACGCUGGCGGCAGGCCUAACACAUGCAAGUCGAACGAGUGGCGGACGGGUGAGUAAUGUCUGGGAACCUGCUCGAUGGAGGGGGAUAACUACUGGAAACGGUAGCUAAUACCGCAUACCAUCGGAUGUGCCCAGAUGGGCUUAGCUAGUAGGUGGGGUAAAGGCUCACCUAGGCGACGAUCCCUAGCUGGUCUGAGCGGAUGACCAGCCACACUGGAACGGAGACACGGUCCAGACUCCUACGGGAGGCAGCAGUGGGGAAUAUUGCACAAUGGGGGCAAGCCUGAUGCAGCCAUGCGGGGUGUAUGAAGAAGGCCUUCGGGUUGUAAAGUACUUUCAGCGGGGAGGCGUUACCCGCAGAAGAAGCACCGGCUAACUCCGUGCCAGCAGCCGCGGUAAUUC